rnacentral:rRNA from 1 species
GAUGAACGCUGGCGGCGUGCCUAACACAUGCAAGUCGAGCGAACAGACGAGGCGCUUGCUCCUUUCUCGUUAGCCGCGGACGGGUGUGUCACAUGUGUAACCCCUCCCUGUCUGUCUGGUAUCACUUCGGGACACCGGCUAUAAUCCCGGAUAAUCUAUUGCACCGCAUGGUUCAAUAGUGAAAGUCGGCUUUUCUGUCACUUAUCGAUGCAUCUGCGCUGCAUUAGCUAGUUGGGAAGGUAACGGGUUAUCAAGGCGACGAUGCGUAGCCGAGCGGAGAGGGUGGUCGGCCACACGGGAACUGAGACACGGUCCAGACUCCUACGGGAGGCAGCAGUAGGGAAUCGUCCGCAAUGGGCGAAAACCUGACGGAGCAACGCCGCGUGAGUGAUGAAGGUCUUCGGAUCGUAAAACUCUGUUAUGAGGGAAGAACAAAUGUGUAAGUAACUAUGCACGGCUUGACGGUACCUAAUCAGAAAGCCACGGCUAACUACGUG